CAGCCGCCGCGGUAAUACCGGCGGCCCGAGUGGCGGUCACUAUUAUUGGGCUUAAAGCGUCCGUAGCCGGGUUGGGGAAUCCUCCGGGAAAUCUGGCCGCUUAACGGUCAGAAUGCCGGAGGAUACUCCCAGCCUAGGGAGCGGGAGAGGCCGAGGGGAUUCCCGGAGUAGGGGGGAAAUCCUAUAAUCCCGGGAGGACCACCUGUGGCGAAGGCGCUCGGCUGGAACGCGUCCGACGGUGAGGGACGAAGGCCAGGGGAGCAAACCGGAUUAGAUACCCGGGUAGUCCUGGCGGUAAACGAUGCGGACUUUGUGUCGGACAAGCUAUGAGCUUGUCCGGUGCCGGAGGGAAACCGUUAAGUCCGCCGCCUGGGGAGUACGGCCGCAAGGCUGAAACUUAAAGGAAUUGGCGGG
rnacentral:rRNA from 1 species